CGGAGCGUAGCUAAGACAGUUAAAGCAUCUCCCUUACACCGAGAAGUCCCCCGUGCAAAUCGGGCCGCCCCGA
rnacentral:tRNA from 1 species